UUUUGGACAAUGGGCGAAAGCCUGAUCCAGCAAUGCCGCGUGUGGGAAGAAGGCCUUCGGGUUGUAAACCACUUUUGUACGGAACGAAAAGGUCUGCCCUAAUACGGUGGGCCCAUGACGGUACCGUAAGAAUAAGCACCGGCUAACUACGUGCCAGCAGCCGCGGUAAUACGUAGGGUGCGAGCGUUAAUCGGAAUUACUGGGCGUAAAGCGUGCGCAGGCGGUUAUAUAAGACAGUUGUGAAAUCCCCGGGCUCAACCUGGGAAUUGUAUCUGUGACUGUAUAGCUAGAGUACGGUAGAGGGGGAUGGAAUUCCGCGUGUAGCAGUGAAAUGCGUAGAUAUGCGGAGGAACACCGAUGGCGAAGGCAAUCCCCUGGACCUGUACUGACGCUCAUGCACGAAA
rnacentral:rRNA from 1 species